rnacentral:rRNA from 1 species
GUAGGUGGCAAGCGUUGUCCGGGAAUUAUUGGGGCGUAAAGCGCGCGCAGGCGGUCCUUUAAGUCUGAUGUGAAAGCCCACGGGCUCAACCGUGGGAGGGUCAUUGGAAACUGGGGGACUUGAGUGCAGAAGAGAAGAGUGGAAUUCCACGUGUAGCGGUGAAAUGCGUAGAGAUGUGGAGGAACACCAGUGGCGAAGGCGACUCUUUGGUCUGCAACUGACGCUGAGGCGCGAAAGCGUGGGGAGCAAACAGGAUUAGAUACCCUGGUAGUCCACGCCGUAAACGAUGAGUGCUAAGUGUUAGAGGGUUUCCGCCCUUUAGUGCUGCAGCAAACGCAUUAAGCACUCCGCCUGGGGAGUACGGCCGCAAGGCUG